rnacentral:tRNA from 1 species
GCCUCCGUGGUGUAUUGGCCAGCACACUUAACGUGUAACCCAGAGGUCUGUGGUUCGAUUCCCGGCGAAGGCG